UAAAGUACUAUAGAAAAUAUCAAGCCAGCAAUGAGCCGAUGAAUGAAACAACCACGUCGAAAAUUUUCAUAUUUCCGCUAGUAGUCAUCAAAACAUUUCAUACAGCCACAAUCACCCAUCUCAAAAAAAAUUCUGUUGACAUUUUUCCGAUUGGGAUUAGGAGAAGUAAUAUCAAAACUCAACGCCAGAUUUUUUUCAGGUUGGAUUUGGAUGCUUGUAAAACAAAAGUUCGCAAAGCAAGAAGCAUGCUUGGACAACAAACGACAAUGACUUUUUUUAUUUGAUAAAUCAAACACUAUCAGAAAGAUGGAAUUUUACCGGAAGUGGCCCUCGAACAGGCCGAACGAGAUUUGCGUGUAGCUCAAUCAGAGUUUGAUCGCCAGGCUGAAAUAACGAAACUUCUGCUUGAAGGAAUUAGUACAUCUCAGACGAGUCAUUUGCGCUAUUUGCAUGAAUUCGUUGGCUCCCAAGUUCGUUACUACGCAAAAUGUGCUAGCGCAAUGAAUGACUUACAACAUGAAUUGGCCAAUUGUAGUCUCGGAGCAUAUAUACCAAUUGAGAUGCAUGAUGAAACAACGAAGAAAGAAAACGAUAUUCCCAUGCAUCGCCGAGCUAGAGUUCUGUGCUCAUACGACGCUAAAGAUAGCACAGAAUUGAGCCUCACUGCAAAUGAAGUAAUUACAGGGAGUCCACGAAGUGCUUGUAAAAAGAUCCCACAGAUUCCUUUCGCCCCUGUGACGCUUCACUAUGGAGUUAUCGCCCACAUAACCUCACAAGCUUCGUCAAAAAUCUCAGUACUCGGAUAAGUGACACGCCAACGGACUAUGUACCUGGAAUUUUCGUCAGAAAUGUAUGGGUUGGGGCUCCUUAUAAAAAAUAAGUAGGAAAAAUUCGACGAAGGCGACUUACGCAUGUUAGACCAAUACACCGGUGUAAAUAAUACUAUUUUAACUCAUUUUGAGGGGUAGACGUUCUACUAACUUCAAACAUCAGAAUAACCUUACUCAAAUAUUUCUCACUGUGCAAAAAGUGACCUCCACAAGAAAAACAAGAAAGGGCAUCAAUUGUGAUCAGAACUUCUAUAAUUACAGUAGAUAAAAUUGACUCUUGCGGGGAUUGCCUACGGAAGUUUGCCCAAUUUUUUUCUUCUUUUUUUUUGUCAACAUCUGUGGGAUUUUUUAAGAGAUAAUCGUCGUGUUACUCACCUUCAACCAUUGAAUAUCUCGUGUCCGAAUUUUGUAAGAUCAAUUUUAAAAACAAAAAACCAACGUAUUAAACGUAUUAAAAUCAAUUCAAAAAGAUUUUGUGAUAUGGACAUUAAGAUUUAUAUAUCAAAGAGAUGAGAAUUAUGUAUUGCCACCGUAUCAGUUUAGAUGUGAUGUUUUAAAUAUUCAACCGCUUUGGAGACGGCGUAUAAAUGCCUCUAUAUUUUUAAUUUAUGAUCUGUUAUUAGGUAAAAUAUUGUCAAAUUCGCUUAGAGAUAAGAUUGUAUACACAAGACAGCAAUAUAACGUAAACCAAAGAAAUUUGAGAAAUACAGAACUUAUUAGAGUACGAAUGUUUACAUCGGACUAUGCACAUAAUCAGCCAUUUUACGUAGCAUGUAGGAAUUUCAAUUUAAUACGAGAACAAUUUUUUGAAUCGGCAUCAAGAGAAAUUUUUAGGAAUAAUAUUAUUCAAUUAGACAAUUUGAUAUUUAAUAAUCGGUGAACAGAUAAUUUUAAAGAAUGUAUGGAGACGAAAGAGAUUACACAAUGAACACAAUCGAUAUCUGCUGCUCCGAAGUCGAAAAGACUGGUAGCUGGAUAUUCGAUCGGGUAGUGUUUCAUUGUUUCAUUGUAAACGAUAUUGCACAAAUUUUGUGAUAAAUUCAGUCUGUGAUCAGACGGUGAAAUAAAUAAAUAAAAUAAA